rnacentral:rRNA from 1 species
UCGAACGGUAGCACAAGGGAGCUUGCUCCCUGGGUGACGAGUGGCGGACGGGUGAGUAAUGCUUGGGAAUCUGGCUUAUGGAGGGGGAUAACUACGGGAAACUGUAGCUAAUACCGCGUAAUAUCUUAGGAUUAAAGUGUGGGACCGCAAGGCCACAUGCCAUGAGAUGAGCCCAAGUGGGAUUAGGUAGUUGGUGGGGUAAAGGCCUACCAAGCCGACGAUCUCUAGCUGGUCUGAGAGGAUGACCAGCCACACUGGAACUGAGACACGGUCCAGACUCCUACGGGAGGCAGCAGUGGGGAAUAUUGCACAAUGGGGGGAACCCUGAUGCAGCCAUGCCGCGUGAAUGAAGAAGGCCUUCGGGUUGUAAAGUUCUUUCGGUAGCGAGGAAGGUAUCAAAUUUAAUAGAUUUGGUAAUUGACGUUAACUACAGAA